GCCAGGUGCAAUGGUGUGUGCCUAUAAUCUUAACUACUCUUGAGGCUAAGGCAGGAAGAUCACUUGAGCACAGGAACUGAAGGCCAGCCUGGACAACAUAGCCAAACCCUGCCUUAG
rnacentral:sRNA from 1 species